CAGAAAUAUAAAUCAGCCUUUACUGAUACAUCUGUGAAAAUAUUUGUAAUUGACUGAAUAAUGUGGAAAAGUGUGAAGAACAUGCAACAAUAAUAACAAUAAUAAUAAUAUUAAUAAUAAUAAUAAUAAAACCAAAUAAUAUUAAUUAAAUUUUCGUUCCUUUUUAUAUUUGUCAUUGCAGAUGAAGCAGUUCAGAGUAAUGAAGAAAUAACAUAUGCAGAUAUGACACUCUACAAAAGAGAAGAAAAGAAUACAAGCAUUUUGGAGGAGGAGGGCGUGGUGUAUGCUGGAGUCGCCAUGAGACACUGAUCAAAGGCAUUCUUCAAGAACUUUCUAGAGUAAAAUAGUAGAGUAGUAUACUGUAUUAUAGUGCAUAUCAUAUCACACACUGACCUGAAUACAGAGACCUUGAAUACUGAGAAUAAAAGUAAAAAGAAAAAAGUAACUGAGUGCAUACAGGACUUGUAUUGUAAAGAACUGGAAAUAAAUAAAUAAAUAAAUAAACAUUUCAAGCAUAAUUGUGCUAAAACCAAUCCAUAUGCUGUAUAUAGUUCAAACAAAAUGAGGGGCAUUUUUUUCCAUUUUAAAUGGAAAUAUGAGGUGCUUUUACGAGGGGCUUUUUUAUUUUAAGGUAAAGCCUGAAGAAGCUCUAAGGAGGUCAAGGUGCAAAAGAAAUGUUCUGCAUGCAAACGGAUGUGAGAGAGAUAAAGCAUACAAUAUUCUGACCUGUGAAGUGGAAAGUUUGCUUUUAAUACCUGUAUGCAACUGUCCAAAACAAGUAGUAGGUAAAUGUCAGCUCUACUUUUGGAAAAUAAUGACACUUGAACAUUAUUCAUUUUAUAAUUU